GUUGGCCUACUGCGCAUCCUACUCGCGCAGUUUACCAGAGACCAUGGACAGUGGCACAGCUUGUCGAUCGCAAAGUAAAUUUUUCUAAUUAUUUCAAUGAAUAUUGCGCGUAAUCAGUGUACCGUGUUACGUAGUUUCACAGACAAAGUACAAAGGACACGUUAUUUCCUCGGUAUACGUAAUUUCUAUUAAUAGUAGCACCUGAGACAAGAAAAUAAAGAGUCACGACGAGCGUUUAAGGUGUCAAGCGAAAGAAGAGCCUAACAACUUGAGUCAAAACAGUGCAGAUCUCAAGGAACGCAAUUCGUUACGAGAACACGGUGAAAUGGAAGUGAAAUUGUGGCGAGUAUUCCACGUAACGAGUUCUCGACGAUUACCUUCACUCUGCUCGAUGAUGUGUUUCUAAUUUCCUCUUGCCCGCUUUGUCAACAAAAUCGAUUCCUGAGGUAAUAAAUUACACCAGAGGUCACGAAAAUGUGUGAUCCAGCUAGUUUCCUUGGAUUCGAGGAGCUCGUGAGAUGCUAAGAUCAGCAAGUGGUGAUAACGAAGUUUCCAGUAAUUCGACGAAUAUGGUCAUCGUCCUUAUAAAGACAACGUCUUUGUAGCGGUAAUACAACAGUUUUAUCAUUCACCCUUCACUUUGCGCUCGUCCAAUUCCUCUUCUGUGACGAUAUCAGGAAUUGCGCUAAGUGAACUAUGGGAAAUUCAGACAAUUUUCGGGUAAACAAACAGUAAAUAAACAAACGAAAAUGAAAAUAAACAUACGAAAAUGAAAAUAAAUAUACGAAAAUGGAAAUAAACAUACGAAAAUAUAAAUAAACAAGCGGAAGUGUAAAUAAACAAAGCAGAAAUGUGAAUAAACACACUAAAGUAAAUAUACACACGAAAAUGUAAACAAACAAGCGGAAAUAUAAAUAAACAAAGCGGAGAUGUAAAUAGACACACGAAAAAGUAAAUAGACACACAAAAAUGUAAAUUGUUUCUAAACAGAGCGAGGAAUCAUCUGAGCUCUGAGAAAUCUUUAGAAAACUUUUGUUUCUUUACAUUCCACAUGUAAAUAUGCAAAGCAAAAUGUAAAUAUACAUUAGAAGUUUCAAUAAACAUGUCGAUGUUUGUAAACAAAACGGAAAGCCCAAGUAGUUCUCUAGUGA